rnacentral:rRNA from 1 species
CGCUGGCGGCGUGCCUAAUACAUGCAAGUCGAACGCACAGCGAAAGGUGCUUGCACCUUUCAAGUGAGUGGCGAACGGGUGAGUAACACGUGGACAACCUGCCUCAAGGCUGGGGAUAACAUUUGGAAACAGAUGCUAAUACCGAAUGAAACUUAGUGUCGCAUGAUACGAAGUUAAAAGGCGCUUUGGCGUCACCUAGAGAUGGAUCCGCGGUGCAUUAGUUAGUUGGUGGGGUAAAGGCCUACCAAGACAAUGAUGCAUAGCCGAGUUGAGAGACUGAUCGGCCACAUUGGGACUGAGACACGGCCCAAACUCCUACGGGAGGCUGCAGUAGGGAAUCUUCCACAAUGGGCGAAAGCCUGAUGGAGCAACGCCGCGUGUGUGAUGAAGGCUUUCGGGUCGUAAAGCACUGUUGUAUGGGAAGAACAGCUAGAAUAGGGAAUGAUUUUAGUUUGACGGUACCAUACCAGAAAGGGACGGCUAAAUACGUGCCAGCAGCCGCGGUAAUACGUAUGUCCCGAGCGUUAUCCGGAUUUAUUGGGCGUAAAGCGAGCGCAGACGGUUGAUUAAGUCUGAUGUGAAAGCCCGGAG